GUGGGAGGGGGCUUGCCCCCGAUGGCGGUGUAUCAGUCAGCACAUUUGUGGCUGACAAGCCAUCAUCGGGGGCAAGCCCCCUCCCAC
rnacentral:misc_RNA from 1 species